ACGGGAGGCAGCAGUGGGGAAUAUUGGGCAAUGGGUGAAAGCCUGACCCAGCAAUGCCGCGUGAAGGAAGAAGGUCUUCGGAUUGUAAACUUCUUUUAUGAGGGACGAAGGAAUUGACGGUACCUCAUGGAUAAGCCACGGCUAACUACGUGCUAGCAGCCGCGGUAAUACGUAGGUGGCAAGCGUUAUCCGAAUUUACUGGGUGUAAAGGGCGCGCAGGCGGGGAAGCAAGUCAGAUGUGAAAUCUAUGGGCUUAACUCAUAAACUGCAUUUGAAACUGUUUCUCUUGAGUGCUGGAGAGGUAGAUGGAAUUCCUAGUGUAGCGGUGAAAUGCGUAGAUAUUAGGAAGAACACCAGUGGCGAAGGCGAUCUACUGGACAGUAACUGACGCUGAGGCGCGAAAGCGUGGGGAGCAAACAGGAUUAGAUACCCUGGUA
rnacentral:rRNA from 1 species